rnacentral:tRNA from 1 species
GCUCCUGUCGUCCAGUCCGGUCUAAGACCUCGGAUUCUCGAUCCGAUAACCCGGGUUCAAAUCCCGGCGGGAGCA